GGAGGUGGAGGGGGUGAGGGAAACGCUGGCGAUAGCCUGACCUCCGCCCCGGGGCGAACAGGAGAGUCCUCCGAGAAACUGCCUCAAAUAGCAAGCAGCUCAUCCUAACGUGGAUCGGGGCAGCAGUGCUUAGGGCGGGCCUCAGAGGCUCACACACGUAUCGCCAGGGGGAGAACCAGCUCCCUCCGGCUUGGACUCGGGGCGGCUCCCCGCCUGCAGCCCCGGAAGCGCAUCCUCACCUUCCCUCGCCUUCCUGUUCCUGGAGGAGCCGGGCUCCGCUCGUCUUCUCCGUCUUAGGGCUGGUGCUGGCCCUGCCCACGCCUAGGGCUCCAGCGCGUCACGGGCCUCAGCUGGGAUUCCCGCGCCCCUCGGACGGCCACGAGACUCGGACAUCUUUCCAGGAGCAGCGUGAGGAGGACAGAAGCACCCAACAGGACUGCUCAAGCCACCUACGAACACUGCUGCCACCAUGCCCAAGAGAAAGGCAAAAGGAGAUGCUAAAGGUGAUAAAGCAAAGGUGAAGGAUGAGCCACAAAGGAGAUCAGCACGGUUGUCUGCUAAACCAGCUCCUCCAAAACCAGAGCCCAGGCCUAAAAAGGCCUCAGCAAAGAAGGGAGAGAAGCUUCCCAAAGGGAGAAAGGGGAAAGCAGAUGCUGGCAAGGAUGGGAACAACCCUGCAAAAAACCGAGAUGCCUCUACACUCCAGUCCCAGAAAGCAGAAGGCUCUGGGGAUGCCAAGUGAAAUGUACAUUUUUGAUAGCUGUGUACUUACAGUGACUCUACUGUUUGAAAUACUAUUUUUUUAAAUCAAGUUUUAUAAAACUGUAGAAUUUUGGCUCUCUUUUUUAAGUUAUGUUGUUAGCACACAGGACACUUCCUCGUUGUCUUUUGUGGAAAGGGCAAGUACCACUAAUAGGGUGUAUCUCAGAAACUGAAUUGAAAUAAGGGGAAAUAGGAUUUUCUGUCCUGGUUUUUGAAGAUUGUUCUUGAUUCCCUUGAUUCCCAGGAGAGAUUCUCUGACAUUCACAUGUCAGCCACUUUGGCACGGAAGCCUUACAGUGUGGGGAACCAAAACUUCGUGUCUCCUCUUUCCCUGAUGCCAUCAGCAUAGACUUGACUUCCUUAAACCGAGAGUUUUGAUGUGGUCUUGGCAACCCUAAAAUCAACUGUGUUAGGUAACAAAACUCAGGCUUUCUGUUGAUGACAUCGAGAUGGUGUCACUUAAAAGAGCCAAGAUUCCUGUUUUCAGUUUGUGGAUUCAUCCUGCUGGUUUUACUUUAUUCCCUCCAUGUCAAAGUGGGCCUGUGAAAAGCUCAUACAUGCCUCAUGUGAAGUGUCCACCCUCUCUGAAAAUCUUUCUUGUUCAAAACAGCAACGACAUACGUUGUUAACUUCUACAGUGACUUUUGGAGGAGGGGAGUUUGGAAAUUGUAAAAUGUUAUAGAUCGUUGCCUAUUUCCUGCUGAAAGUAAAUGUUUUUAAAAAAUAUCAUAUAAAGCUGAAUACAAGUUGGUUUGGGGGGAGAUCCUUUCCUACCCAAAGUCAUAAAUAUAUUCUUUACUGCCUUGUGGAAAUUUUAUAAUUUUGCCUUUCACAUUUGUCUUUAGUCUGUCCUGAACUGAUUUUUGUGAAAAUUAUGAGUUAGAAAUUCAAUUUAACAUUUUUCAUAUUUUGAAGUGGUUGUCUCUGCAUUAUUUACUGAAAAGUUCAUCCUUUCCCCAGUGAUUUGUAACACUGCCUCUUUCAUAAAUUAAAUUUUUGUGUACGUGUGUGGGUCUUUUGAUGGUUUCUAUUCUGACUGACAUCAAUUUGUCUAAUCUUGUAGCAGAACAGUACAGUUCUGAUUAUUGCAACUUUAGGAAAAGGUCUGAUAAAAACCAAGAUGCCUCCACAUUUUGUCAUAAUUGUAACCAAUUUCACCUCUGUCUCCAGUAUCACCACAAAAUUGUUCUUCCUUGGAGUGUCUUGGCUAUUCUUAGCCAACUGUUCCUCCAUAUUACUUCUAGAAUUAGACCAACAAUUUAUAAAUCAAACAAACCCAAGAACAUUGAAAUUUUGAUUGGAUCUGUAUUGAAUUUAUAGAUUAAUCUGGUAAACCAUGUCAUCUUUACAAUGUUGUCUUCCAAUACAUGAAUAUGGUACAGCUCUCCAUUUACUUAGGCCUUUGAAAUAUCUUUCAAUAAAGUUUAUAAUUUUCUCCAUAAA